GCGGUCGUGGCGGAAUCGGCAUACGCGCACGUUUGAGGGGCGUGUUGGGAAACCAGUACGAGUUCAAGUCUCGUCGACCGCACCA
rnacentral:tRNA from 1 species